UACGUAGGGGGCAAGCGUUGUCCGGAUUUAUUGGGCGUAAAGAGCGUGUAGGCGGCCACACAGGUCUGCUGUGAAAACUCGAGGCUCAACCUCGAGCUGUCGGUGGAAACCGUGUGGCUAGAGUCCGGAAGAGGAGAGUGGAAUUCCCGGUGUAGCGGUGAAAUGCGCAGACUAUCGGGAAGAACACCCCGUGGCGAAGGCGGCUCUCUGGGACGGUACUGACGCUGAGACGCGAAAGCGUGGGGGAGCGAACAG
rnacentral:rRNA from 1 species